rnacentral:rRNA from 1 species
CAAAGGAAGCGAUUCCGGCAACGGAUGGGCAUGCGUGACAUUAGCUAGUUGGCGGGGCAACGGCCCACCAAGGCGACGAUGUCUAGGGGUUCUGAGAGGAAGGUCCCCCACACUGGUACUGAGACACGGACCAGACUCCUACGGGAGGCAGCAGUGAGGAAUAUUGGUCAAUGGGCGCGAGCCUGAACCAGCCAAGUCGCGUGAGGGAUGACGGCCCUACGGGUUGUAAACCUCUUUUGUCGGGGAGCAAAUUCCGCCACGUGUGGCGGAGUCGAGAGUACCCGAAGAAAAAGCAUCGGCUAACUCCGUGCCAGCAGCCGCGGUAAUACGGAGGAUGCGAGCGUUAUCCGGAUUUAUUGGGUUUAAAGGGUGCGUAGGCGGACUGUCAAGUCAGCGGUAAAAUACGGGGGCUCAACCUCCGCCCGCCGUUGAAACUGACGGUCUUGAGUGGGCGAGAAGUAUGCGGAAUGCGUGGUGUAGCGGUGAAAUGCAUAGAUAUCACGCAGAACUCCGAUUGCGAAGGCAGCAUACCGGCGCCCAACUGACGCUGAAGCACGAAAGCGUGGGUAUCGAACAGGAUUAGAUACCCUGGUAGUCCACGCAGUAAACGAUGAAUACUAGCUGUCCGGGGCGAAUGAGCCCUGG